rnacentral:rRNA from 1 species
UACGUAGGGUGCGAGCGUUGUCCGGAUUUACUGGGCGUAAAGAGCUCGUAGGUGGUUUGUCGCGUCGUCUGUGAAAUUCCGGGGCUUAACUCCGGGCGUGCAGGCGAUACGGGCAUAACUUGAGUGCUGUAGGGGUAACUGGAAUUCCUGGUGUAGCGGUGGAAUGCGCAGAUAUCAGGAGGAACACCGAUGGCGAAGGCAGGUUACUGGGCAGUUACUGACGCUGAGGAGCGAAAGCAUGGGUAGCGAACAGG